UACAGAGGGGGCAAGCGUUGUUCGGAAUUACUGGGCGUAAAGGGCGCGUAGGCGGCCUUCUAAGUCGAACGUGAAAUCCCCGGGCUCAACCCCGGGAACUGCGUCCGAUACUGGAAGGCUUGAAUCCGGGAGAGGGAUGCGGAAUUCCAGGUGUAGCGGUGGAAAUGCGUAGAUAUCUGGAGGAACACCGGUGGCGAAGG
rnacentral:rRNA from 1 species